UUGUUUCUCUUCUCUUUCUUCUCUUUCUCUUUUUCUCUUCCUUUGUCUAUCACCUUGUCUCUCUCCUUAAAGGCAAGAGAGAAAGAAGAAGACAGAUCAUCGAGAGUAGGAAGAGAAAACGAAAUUU
rnacentral:ribozyme from 13 species